rnacentral:rRNA from 1 species
CCUACGGGCGGCUGCAGUGAGGAAUAUUGGUCAAUGGCCGGAAGGCUGAACCAGCCAUGCCGCGUGAGGGAAGAAGGUCCAGCGUAUCGUAAACCUCUUUUGUCAGGGAACAAAGGCGGGGACUAGUCCCCGGAUGAGGGUACCUGAAGAAAAAGCAUUGGCUAACUCCGUGCCAGCAGCCGCGGUAAUACGGAGGAUGCGAGCGUUAUCCGGAUUUAUUGGGUUUAAAGGGUGCGUAGGCGGGCUGGUAAGUCAGCGGGAAAAGUCCGGGGCUCAACCCCGGCGAGCCGUUGAAACUGGCGGUCUGGAGUUGGAGAGAAGUACGCGGAAUGCGCGGUGUAGCGGUGAAAUGCUUAGAUAUCACGCAGAACGCCGAUUGCGAAGGCAGCGUACCGGCGCCACACUGACGCUGAGGCACGAAAGCGUGGGUAUCGAACAGGAUUAGAUACCCGAGUAGUC